rnacentral:lncRNA from 1 species
GUAUAUUAUCAAAUCUGUUCUACAUCAGGAAUAGAUUACAUCUGCUGUAUAUGCAAAAAACAAUUGAGAAUUUUCGGUCGUCAAAGCUCUUCAACGUCGUACUUUUUUUCAGAUUCGAGCGUAACUAAUGAGUCUUUUGUAGACGAAACGCACGUCUGACGCACAAUAUAAUCCUGGUAUCUAUGAUGGAUAGCUUUUUACUUCAACAAGUAAAAUGAAAUUUAAAAAAUAUAAUUAUGACACAAACAUCUGCCCUGGACAUAUUGAAAUGAUAUACAGUGCUCUGCAUUUCCCGUUUGAUCACAGUAUUUGUUAAAUAUAUUAUCAUCUUUUUGUACUUGUAUAUAUUCAUGUGCACAUGUUCGUCCCUUUUACCAUAGAACACCGUUAAAGGAUUGCCCAAAUUGGCAACAGAUAAUUAUUCAUGUUGUUUGUUGUCUAAGCUUUUACUGAAAAUUGUCAAUUGACAGGCUGAAGUACAGCUAAGUAAAAUAACUGUGUAAAAGAUCUAGGCCACCAAUUUGAAAAUGACACUUGGUUUUAAUCGCAAUUAUAUUAAAUUUCGGACGGAAAAAGGGAGCAGGAUAUGGUUUGUUUCUAUAUUGUAUAUCACGCAUUUAAUACUAAAGCCUUAUUUCCAAUAAUUUUUACUCCUCAAUACCAAGAUUAUUUCGAGUUGUGUCUCUUAGACAAUGAACCUUACUGUUCGAUUUUUUUUUAAUUUGUCUUUAGCUGUCCGGUUGGAAACUCUAGAGCACUCACAUUGCAUGAUGGAGAAACAUUAAAAAAAAAAGACAAUGCAGAUGACUAAAUGUCCUGAAAUGGUCUAGUUUCAAUACUAUUAUCAAUUUAUGACCGUUUAAAAAACGAUAAAUUGCAACUUCUGAAAAGGUUUUUAUUAACGUUAGAAAAUACGAUGCUCAAACCCAUAUUUAAGUAGAUUGUACAAUCUCUGUAUCAAGUAAUGAAUAAUUGGUGCAUUGAAGAAGUCGAACUUACAUAUUACUACAUUUGGUAUGAAAUGUGUAUAUGUAACCUUAUUGUUCAAGAUUAAGUUACAACAUCCGUUU